AUUGAACGCUGGCGGCAGGCCUAACACAUGCAAGUCGAACGAGUGGCGGACGGGUGAGUAAUGUCUGGGAAACUGCCUGAUGGAGGGGGAUAACUACUGGAAACGGUAGCUAAUACCGCAUACCAUCGGAUGUGCCCAGAUGGGAUUAGCUAGUAGGUGGGGUAAAGGCUCACCUAGGCGACGAUCCCUAGCUGGUCUGAGAGGAUGAGCAGCGACACGUGAACUGAUACACGGUCCAGGCUCCUACGGGAGGCAGCAGUGGGGAAUAUUGCACAAUGGGCGCGGUCCUGAUGCAGCCAUGCCGCGUGUAUGAAGAAUGCCUUCGGGUUGUAGAGUACUUUCAGCGGGGAGGCGUUACCCGCAGAAGAAGCACCUGCUAAUUCCGUGCCAUCAGCCGCGGGAAUUC
rnacentral:rRNA from 1 species